rnacentral:rRNA from 1 species
UACGUAGGGGGCAAGCGUUGUCCGGAAUCAUUGGGCGUAAAGCGCGUGUAGGCGGUUCGGUAAGUCGGCUGUGAAAGUCCAGGGCUCAACCCUGGGAUGCCGGUCGAUACUGCCGGACUAGAGUUCGGAAGAGGCGAGUGGAAUUCCCGGUGUAGCGGUGAAAUGCGCAGAUAUCAGGAAGAACACCCGUGGCGAAGGCGGCUCUCUGGGACGGUACUGACGCUG